CCUACGGGAGGCAGCAGUGGGGAAUAUUGCGCAAUGGGCGAAAGCCUGACGCAGCGACGCCGCGUGAGGGAUGAAGGUCUUCGGAUCGUAAACCUCUGUCAGCAGGGAAGAACGGUCACUGUGCUAAUCAGCAGUGAAUUGACGGUACCUGCAAAGGAAGCACCGGCUAACUCCGUACCAGCAGCCGCGGUAAUACGGAGGGUGCGAGCGUUAAUCGGAAUUACUGGGCGUAAAGCGCUCGUAGGCGGUAUGUCAAGUCAAGGGUGAAAUCCCCGCGCUCAACGUGGGAACUGCCUUUGAAACGGGCAAAGUGGAGGGUGUGAGAGGAGAGUGGAAUUCGGGGGUGAGGAGGGAAAUCGGUAGAUAUGUGGAGGAA
rnacentral:rRNA from 1 species